rnacentral:rRNA from 1 species
UACGUAGGGGGCAAGCGUUGUCCGGAAUCAUUGGGCGUAAAGAGCGCGUAGGCGGUUCGAUAAGUCGGCUGUGAAAGUCCAGGGCUCAACCCUGGGAUGCCGGUCGAAACUGUCGGACUAGAGUUCGGAAGAGGCGAGUGGAAUUCCCGGUGUAGUGGUGAAAUGCGUAGAUAUCGGGAGGAACACCAGUGGCGAAGGCGACUACCUGGCCUGUUCUUGACGCUGAGGCGCGAAAGCUAGGGGAGCAAACAGG